rnacentral:rRNA from 1 species
AUUGGACGCUGGCGGCAUGCCUUACACAUGCAAGUCGAACGGUAACAGGUCUUCGGAUGCUGACGAGUGGCGAACGGGUGAGUAAUACAUCGGAACGUGCCUAGUAGUGGGGGAUAACUACUCGAAAGAGUGGCUAAUACCGCAUGAGAUCUACGGAUGAAAGCAGGGGAUCGCAAGACCUUGUGCUACUCGAGCGGCCGAUGGCAGAUUAGGUAGUUGGUGGGAUAAAAGCUUACCAAGCCGACGAGCUGUAGCUGGUCUGAGAGGACGAUCAUCCACACUGGGACUGAGACACGGCCCAGACUCCUACGGGAGGCAGCAGUGGGGAAUUUUGGACAAUGGGCGCAAGCCUGAUCCAGCAAUGCCGCGUGCAGGAUGAAGGCCUUCGGGUUGUAAACUGCUUUUGUACGGAACGAAAAGCCCUGGGUUAAUACCCUGGGGUCAUGACGGUACCGUAAGAAUAAGCACCGGCUAACCACGUGCCAGCCGCCGCCGUAAGAC